UACGGAGGGGGCUAGCUGUUCGGAUUGAUCUGGGCGUAAAGCGCACGUAGGCGGCUUUGUAAGUUAGAGGUGAAAGCCCGGGGCUCAACUCCGGAAUUGCCUUUAAGACUGCAUCGCUAGAAUUGUGGAGAGGUAAGUGGAAUUCCGAGUGUAGAGGUGAAAUUCGUAGAUAUUCGGAAGAACACCAGUGGCGAAGGCGACUUACUGGACACAUAUUGACGCUGAGGUGCGAAAGCGUGGGGAGCAAACAGG
rnacentral:rRNA from 1 species